rnacentral:lncRNA from 1 species
AGCUCCGACCCAGGCGGCAUCAAGCCUCCCUGCCCACAAAGUGACAGUUUACAAAAUUAUUUUCUGCAAAAAAGGAUAAAAAAAAAGUUACGUUAAAAAAAAAUUUUAAAAAGAAAAAAAAAAACAAACAAAAAACUACAUAUUUUAUUAUAAAAAAAAAAGUAUUUUUUUCUCCACCAGUCUUAAAUGGAAAAGAGGAAAAAUUAACUAUUUGCACCGAAAUGUUUUUGUUGUGACAUAGGAAAAUAACCAAGCACAAAGUUAUAUUCCAUUCUUUUUACUGAAGUUUUUUCCUCCUACCUGUUCUGUCUGCUGUAUUCAUUUCUCUAAUUUCAUGCCCACUUGGGGGUGGGGUAGGUGGGUACUCUCAUCAGAGGCACAUUGGUGCAUGUGUGUUUGCUAGCUCACUUGUCCAUGAGAAUAUUUUAUGAUAUUAAAGAAAACCUUUUGAAAUGGCUGCUUUUCAAAGAAGAUAAUUCAUGGCUUCUCAUUUUUCAGUCUCUUCAAAAGUGUGGCUGGCCUGUUUUAUGACUGCAGAGUUGUUAUGUUUUUUAAUUUUGAAUAUUGCCUAUUAAAGAUAGGACAAACUUGGAGAUUAUGAUGUUGCUUGGCACAGACUGUAUUAAAACAACACUCCCGUGACAUUACUUUGCUUGUUCCUUUGGCUGACUUCCAGAAGUGGGGGUGGGUUGUGUCAAGAAUGGUGUGGGGUACCUGUCCUCACCCACCUCUAGAUUUCUGAGCCUGGUUUGGUACAUUCUCACUUCUUUAAGAGGAGAAGAUGGCCUCCUCUAUGUACAGGGGAAAGCUAACAAGCGCAUGAAAGAGCCCCUGACGAAAACCCCCAGCUUUCUUGGUUCUCUGUGGCUGUCUGUGACUUCUCUGUGACCCCGACCAUUUUGUUUUUGCUGCAGGGGACAGCUUGGAUUGUGUCAGGGUUGUAGUCCUCUUUCCUACUCUAAGUGUUCCAUAGAGUACUGGGGCUUGGUGGCAGGGUGUACAACCAGCCUAUGCCAGGCCCUGAAUUCAAUCCCUUGAGACCCCAAAAUGUGCCACAGAUAGUAGCUGUUGGUCAUUGCAGGGACUCAAUGACAAUGCAGAUUGCCAGCAUUCCCCCCAUAUCCAAACAUAUAUGAUGAUAAGCUCCAAUUUAUCAUUUGUUGUCUAAGAAUAUAUGGUGGUGGUGGGAGCCUGUUGUUAGAAUUUCCAAGACUACAGAGCAGAGCAAGAGCGAUCAUGGUUAAAAUAACUUUGCAAGUAGAGAUAUGUCGAGUUGGGGAGUUCUGCCUGGGGGCGGUUUUAAAAUCCCUGGCUGUGCCUCCUGAAAAUGGUGGGCUGGCUCUUUGCCAGGUUCCCAUUCAUUAAGUGGUGCUGUUAUAAAGUGAUGGUAAAUGGGUAUGGAGCAUGAGUGUUGGCUGUGGCCAAUCUAAAGAUUCUGUUCAGAAGGGAGAAUCACUUGAAAGUAGGUCAAUGGGUAGGCCCCUACCGCCAAGCCUGAAGGCCCAAGUUUGAUCCCUGAGACCCACAUGGUAAAGAGAACCAGCUCUCAAAAGUGGUCAUCUGACACGUGGAUGUGCACACACAUGCUCGCACACACUAAAGAAAUACAUUUAAGAUUUUUUUCUUUAAAUAGGAUAAUCCUUAGUAUUAACUGCAUUUAGGGGGACUAAAGCCAUCUGAACUUUCUGGGCUAAGCUAGAGAAGUCUAUGGUGAAACCUUGUAGGGAUUGGUUCAGGGGACAUUCUUGAGCUCUCAGUCUGGUCUGGCCUCUGGGCCACUGAGGAUAUCCUAGGUGAGGGAUUGGCUCUUACCUUGGGAAACUUAUGCAUUUACCCUUAAAAAAGUAGGAAUCGUGGAAGAUAAUCUAUGUCUGUGGAGAAAGCACUAGUAGUAGGGUGGUCCUGGUUUCAAAACCUUGAGAGGGCAGAGAUAUUUGUUUUUAGCUAUUUUUAUGCAAAUUAUCUUAAGAUAAAUGUAGGCUUUGGGGGAAGAAAGUCUUUUAACUGAAAGUUUUUCAGACCCAGGAUACAAGCAUUCUGAUGCUCCAGUUUCUAAAGGUGUGGGUAGUCUAUGUCCUUAGCAGGGCUUUAAAAAAAUUUUUUUUUAAGCAUUUGUUUACUGGAGGACAGGGGUCGUGUGUAUACCGCAGCAAAUCAGGAGGUCACAGGAUAACUUGGAGUUGGCUCUUUCCUCCAGCACGUGGGUUCCAGGGAUCAAACUCAGAUUAACAGGCUUGGUGGCAAGAGCCUUUACUUGGUGGCUGGUCCUUCAUCAGUGUUUAUUUUUAACGAUCACGUAAGUCAUUUGAACAAAAGUGUGCCUGCCCACCAAGUUAUCCCGUAAAUUAGUUUUUAGUCUGUUGAGGAUAAAGAAUUUUAACCUGGGUUCUCCUUCAGUGCUGAGCAUGGAUCCCAGGGCCUUGUGUGAAUCAGACAAGCUCUACCACCCAGUUAGCUUCUUCCCCUGUUGAAACGGGCAUUUAAGGCCAUCAUACGCAUCUUGUGUGUGUGUGUGUGGUUUUUUUAAUCAUUUGUUCAUUUUAACAGAUUUAGUUCCUCCCCCAAAACAACCCCAUUUGGCAAACCUCAUUAAACUCCUCUGAACAUUUUAAACUAUAAUUACAAGUUUUAAUGGUUUUCCCCAGGAUAUUAAACUCCAGGGACAUCUUGCUUAGCACAAAACAACUGAAAAUGUUAUAAAUACAAUAAAUCAAUUCCUGUGAGCAAUC